AUGGCGGGCGGGUCCUCUUUCUCCUCCUCCCGCUCUUACUCCCACUCCUCCGGGUCGCCGGCGCUCGCCAACGUCAAGGCCGAGCCCGUGGAGACGCCGCUCGGGUGGCGCACCCGCGGCGGCGCCCUUGUCAUCAACAAGGACGGUCGUGGCCCCUCUGCUCUCUCCUCCUGCCUCGUUAAACUGAAGAUCGAGACGGGGCUCAUCGCCGUAAAGAAGGAACACAAUGACAUGGCCGCUGAUGAAGAGACCGCCCUCAAGUGGGCGCGGGCGGACUACGUCCAGCUGGAGAUGGAGCGCGAGCGCCUCGCCCUCGAGGAGAUCGCCAGCUGGCGCCGCGGUUGUGACGAGAGUGGCGUCAUCGUCCUCGAGGAUAGCGACGAGGAGGCACCGCCGCCAACCAAACCCGUCCGCCAAGGCGACCUAGGGCAGGGUUGUAGCAAGGAUCGCGACGGCGUGAAGAACGAGUACGACGGUGGCGGCGGCGACUAA
rnacentral:rRNA from 1 species